CAUCUUGUCUGAUCUGUAGUGGUGAGAAGAAGAUGAGGGGUAAUAGAAGUCCAAAUACCUAUCUGAAUGGCAGAGACACUGACCGUGAUUGUCCCUGUGACUUUGUGUUGAAUGAAAAUUCAAGGGGCAGGAACUGAAGUGAAGACUUGAGCAAAUGAUUCCAGCGUGAACCACCAUUGGACUACCCAAACAAUGUCCUGUGUGUGCAACGACAGCAAAGGUUCCCAGAUGACGGCCAAGAAAGAAUGAAGGUCCACUGGAGCAGUCUGGAAAGCUUUAGAAAACAGCUCAGGCAUGGUCAGACUCUUGUGAAGAGUGGCUAGGGUGUCACCCACUGCUGUGAACUGUCAGGACACUGGGACCAAUCUGUUAGAUUCAAGUCGGCCUGUCUGCUGGGGGAUGUCCAGCUGCCAUUGGAAGCAUAAAGAUAGUACCUGGAAAUGGUCUGGCAGCCAGUUUGGAACAAUUCAUUGGGUCAAGUUGAACAGUCGUUAGGGGAAUGGCCACAGAGAGUGCUCUGCUGGAAGUGACCCAAAGGCUGGUGGGACCGAUCUGCUGGGGAAGGUCCGGCAAUCCACUGGGAGAAAUCCAUUGGAAGCUGUCCGGCAGUCCAUUAAGAGCUGAGCAUUGGAUGCAGGCCAGAAUCCUAUUAGAAUCAUUCCAUUAGGAGUGUUCCAUCAGUCCAUAAGGAGCAUUUUUGUCAGCCUACUGGGAAUAGUAAAGCAAACACGUUGGCAUUUUGAUGCAGGAGAGCACAUCUUUAAGAAAUUAUAGGAAUACUAAACCAAUCAAAGGACCUGAUGCUUUGUAAAAUAAGUGGGUGUUACAUCUAAAAAAAAUCUAGAUGUCUUAACAUUACAACUUAUUCUCUGCAUCUAAAUGGGUAUUGUAAAAUGAGUCUUCCGAAGAUCAUAGUGGUUCCUGAUAUUUGAUACCUCCCAAGCAGUUUAAUAGUAAUUCUAAAAGGUAUACAGAGAGCUGAUAAAUGUAAUGGUAAAAAUGAUAAUUUAUAGAUAAAGAUUAAAUUGAGUUGGCAAAAAUAUUUAGUAUUGAAACAAAAAAAUCCAUGUAUCGGUGGAUUUCUUUUUAGCUUGAUAGGCCUAGAGUGAACUGUUGUUUAGUCAUGAAUUAGACCUGAUUUUUAAAAAUUUUUUAUGAAAACAAAAAUGCUAUUGAUUUUAAAUUUAGUUUAUCAACAAUAAGGAAAAUUCAUCUUCAGCACUUUCUGUUUGCCCUGGUUAGAUUAAUUUGUAUUUAUAAAACAACCAAGUUUGGAUGAAAGUUCAUCGUUUAUGCUACUAAUAAAUAUUCAUACAUCAGUUACUUGGGUAGCCAAAUGAAUGUCAAAGAAGCAUUUUAAAAAACUAACAGUUCAGUUCCAUCACAUAACAUUAUUUUGUAAUUUAUAUUUUGAGAGAGUUGAGAUAAUUACUAUUCAAUUCUAAUUUGUCUUGGAAAUUUAUCAAACACGGAUGUUUUCUAUUUGAAUUUGAAGUUAAUUUUUUUUGAAAGAGCUAUCUUAUUCAGAUGAUAUCUUGAACUAAAAAGAGAAUCAUGAUUAGUGGUGUGCAGGAAGACAGUGGUAUUUUCUUUCAUCAUUUGAGAAAGCAAAAUGUGUAGACAAACUAUGGAAAGAUUGCUAAGAUUUUCUUCUUUGCAUUUUCAAAUUACAGUUCCAAAAUAUGAGUUUUUCACUAAUAAUAUUUGGACGACUAAAGUUUAUGGGAAGGACAGAAGUAAGGCAAAUGAGAAGAGUGAAACAAAGCAAGAAAACCAAGAGAUUUUCUUGCGCAAGUAGAAAAAAGCCAACAGAACAGAUACAGACAACUUUCAUGCCCUUUGGUUAAAAAAUAGAAAUAGGAUAAGGUCUGCUGGCAAGGGACUGUCUCUUCUGGCUGGAUUCCCCAGCACUUUAAGGCUUUAACAUAGCAUAUAGGUUAUUUUAUGUAAAAGCUGUUUACCCUUGGAAAAUUGUGUU